rnacentral:misc_RNA from 1 species
GUUACCUUGUCUUAAUGAGUUUUUGGUGGAUUAAACCUUAUUUUGACUGACUAAUGGCUAGUUGCACACAUGCUCUUAUAUCCUUUUGCAUUAAGAUGUAUGGGUUUGGGUUGUGAAUAAGCUGGACCAUGCCUGGCUGGCUUGGCUUGGGUUUGAUUCUAGCUCAUCACAUUCUAUGCUUCAAAGUGCAAUAGCAUUAUGUAAUAGAACAAGAAAAUUGAUCAUUUAGCAUGGGACAUUGAGAUAUUUUUAAUAAAGAUUGUUACAAAAUCUGGCACAAGUUAAAAAUUGACUAAUAAAUUAUGUGGUGUAUCCUUUUUAUUUUUUUCUCCAUGUGUGCAUGCAUAUAUGCCAUAUAAUGUGCUUCUUCCAAGUUGAGCUUCAUGUUUCAACAAGUAAAAAGACGUUCACACUAGCUUGCUCUAUAUCGGUAUGAUUUAAGUUAGCUUGUACUUGUUACUGGUUGAUUGAGGGUUUGUCUUUAGAUGGUUAUUUAACUUCAUUUAGUUCUUUAUUUGACUGCAGGACAAUCAUGUUGACAGCACA